AUGAUGCCAGCUCGGCUCUCCAGAGCAACGUUCAGAAAUCUUGUGAUCUUGGAGCUCGCUUUGCUGACUUGGAGAAGCAGCAGAUUCAACUGAACCUUGACUUGGAGCUGGCCAGGACAGAGCUGCAAAAGGUUAGAGACGGCGCCGCUGAAAAACUGAGAGAAGCUCUGGCGAAGAAGGAUCAGGAUUUGGCUGCUGCUCGUAAGGA